UACGGAGGGGGCUAGCGUUGUUCGGAAUUACUGGGCGUAAAGCGCGCGUAGGCGGCUUUGUAAGUUAGAGGUGAAAGCCCGAAGCUCAACUUCGGAAUUGCCUUUAAGACUGCAUCGCUAGAAUCAUGGAGAGGUUAGUGGAACUCCGAGUGUAGAGGUGAAAUUCGUAGAUAUUCGGAAGAACACCAGUGGCGAAGGCGACUAACUGGACAUGUAUUGACGCUGAGGUGCGAAAGCGUGGGGAGCAAACAGG
rnacentral:rRNA from 1 species